CUAUCACUUACACAUAAUAACUCAGCCUUUUCAUCCCUCUUCUUUUUCUGUCUUUCACGUUUCCCCUCUCAUCUUCCCUCAUCACCUGCAAACCAAAAAGGGAGAAGCUCAAACUUUUGGUUCUAAGCAACAUCACCACCAAGAUCGGGAAGAGAUACUCUUCAUCCUCUCUUCAACGGAGCUACUACAGGAGAAUUUUGGUGAGGAAAAGCUAGUUUCUCUGUUUUUGAUUUUCGAUCUCUCAAUUCAAUUUCUCUUUCAUCUUGGGUCAAUAAAAUUUUAGAAACUUAGGUAUGUCCUAGUAUUCAUUUCGAUUUCAAGUUUAUGUGUGUGAUUUAAAAACUUGGGGUUUCAUAUUUGGGCAACAGAACUUCUGAUUCAGGUUUUGGUUGGAGUUCCAAAAGAUGUAGCGGUUCAGUAAGAGGCUUCAAUUUGUCAUUGGUGAGGUUUCAAUUUGUUUGGGUUGUCUCACAAUCUCUCACUGAAAGAAAGUUUUUUCUUUUUUUUUGGUGAGACGCUGAAAGAAAGUUUCAAUGGCCCAAACAAGAUGAGGUUGAACCACACCCUUCUUUACCACCCCCAGAAUCCAGUAAUGGCAGCAAAAACUAGAAAGACAAAGAUGAUGAGACUUCUACGAGAUGAUAAUGCAGAGGAUCAAGAUACUCAAAGACAGGCAGAGAGAAUUGAUAUGGACACACAUUCUCAUAUUAUAUCAAGAAAACGGAAACAAGGUUGUCAAAGGAGAUCAAGAAGGUUGAAAGAAGCAUCUCAGCUUUUGUUGAUCGAAUAGAAUCUGCCUGUUUUUGCUUGGUUGAUUGGGUAUUGUUGUGUCUAGCGUGAAGGUAAUCAGUCAUACCAAGGACCACUAGAGGUAUGAAGAAGAAGCAGAUGACCCUUCAACAUGCAUUGUUCAGUAUCAAAGAUUAAACCGUGCAAAUUUUUGAACAAAAUAUACACUUUCAUCACAGUUAAUGCAGGUAUGAGAAUAUAUCUAGCAUAAUAUAUCAGCAGGUGAUAAUUAAACAAAAUUUCUAGUAUAUACUAUAUGUGUGUGUUUCAAAAUCUGUUUAUUAAUCAGUUGAUUGUCUGUUACAGAUGUAAUCUUCCCUUACAAAGAUCAUGUCUUUACUAGCUGAUACA